rnacentral:rRNA from 1 species
UAAUUUUUUUAUCAAAAAGUUAAAAUAAUUUAAAAAGACGAGAAGACCCUAUAGAGUUUUAUAAAUAUUUUAAUUAAGAUUAUUUGUAGGUUAAGUUUAAAAUUAGAUUAUUUAUUUUAUUGGGGUGAUAGAAAAAUAUAUAUAACUUUUUAUAUAUAUAUAUAUAUAUAUAUAUUAACAUUUAUAAGUGAUUAAAUGAUCCAAUAAUAUUGAUUAUAAGAAAAAAUUACCUUAGGGAUAACAGCGUA